rnacentral:rRNA from 1 species
GACGAACGCUGGCGGCGUGCUUAACACAUGCAAGUCGAACGGACCUUCGGGUUAGUGGCGAACGGGUGAGUAACACGUGGGUGAUCUGCCCUGCACUUUGGGAUAAGCCUGGGAAACUGGGUCUAAUACCGGAUAGGACCACGCAUUUUAUGGUGUGUGGUGGAAAGCUCUUGCGGUGUGGGAUGGGCCCGCGGCCUAUCAGCUUGUUGGUGGGGUAAUGGCCUACCAAGGCGACGACGGGUAGCCGGCCUGAGAGGGUGACCGGCCACACUGGGACUGAGAUACGGCCCAGACUCCUACGGGAGGCAGCAGUGGGGAAUAUUGCACAAUGGGCGCAAGCCUGAUGCAGCGACGCCGCGUGAGGGAUGACGGCCUUCGGGUUGUAAACCUCUUUCGCCAGGGACGAAGCGCAAGUGACGGUACCUGGAGAAGAAGGACCGGCCAACUACGUGCCAGCCGCCGCCGUAAAAC